GGCCAACAUUCUUCUCACUACUAUUGUUAUCUCUCAACUUUCAUUUGUUUAUAGUUGAUUUGAUCCCAUCACAUACGAGGCUCAAUCCAAGACAUUGUGAAUAGAGGGUGUUACAAGUACGGUAUACCUACAACCUUACCGGCAUACUUGUCCAUUGUCCGCUUGCAAGAAUCGUCUCUAAACUUGAUGAAAUGAGCAUGUUGUACGAGCCUGCUUGGUGCUCAACCCCGGCUGUCUCCAUCGUCCCGGCUGUCUCCACCAUCCACCAUCGAAGGGUGUGGAAGAUACCAUACAUUUCACAUUGUAAAUAACUGGGUAAUACAUGUGUAACAAGCUCUUAAAUCUAUCCAAUGAAUCGGAAAGGUAACAGCCAAUCCCGAUCUUGAUUAGAAAGACAAAAUCGUAGCCACCGUGGAAUGAAAUUAGGGGUGGGGGAAAAAGCCAAAGAAAUGGUAUACUGAUUGUAUUGUACCGAAAAUAAUAAAAAAGUAUCGAAUUUUUGGUAUACCGUAAUUUUUGGUGCGGUACGAUACAAUACCGUAAGUUUUUGGUACGAUAACUGUAUGAAUUUUCUUAUACCUCUGUAUACAGUGGAAUACGGAAUAUACGUUAUAUACAAAAAUAUCGGUAUAUCGUGGUA